CAACUGUUGUUUUUAAACGCGUAGGUCACGGUCACACGGCACAGAUGUUGAAGCUAAGAAUCUGACAUUAUCAGCAUACUGUUGCAAUUUUACAAACGUGCAGAGUUUAUGGUGAGCAUUUGGCAAAUAGUCAAAUAAGUCCGUUUACGCAACGUUUUCUUUGUUUCUCGAUUACCCCAAUAGUAUAUGUGUUAUCGGUGGGUAUCCCGUUAAUCCUACACGUGGUUAAGUGCAACAGUCAAGUCAAGGAAGUGUGAAAGUCGUGGAAGAAUUUCACAUUAGUGAAAUGAGUUACAGAUUCUUUCACUUGCAUUGGAUGCUUCCCCCAUGUUGGAAGAGGAGCAAUUGCUAGAAGAUUUUAUUCUGUGAGUUUAAUUGGGCCAACAUCACAUAGCUCAAAUAUGUAGUCUACACCUUUAAGUUUAAGUACAGUGUGACUGUUGGAGUGACCUUGUGCUUGUGAAGAAUCCAGUGCAGAAUUAAAUUUUUUUUUUCCAAAAACAGUGCUUUGCCUGAAAUGUCACUAAUUGCAAUCUUCUGCCUACGUUAACAUGUGUCACUUUCACAUCAGGCAAGAAAAUAUUGCUGCUGAAGAAAAUGCUAUACAGUGAGAAGAAACUAGAAAAACAGAUAUUGUUGUCAAAAGGUUAGGAUUAUCAUCAUACAGCCCAGUUUUCACCUGCCGCUCCAGCCAAUCUCCCUAACAUGAGCAACAAGAUUGUUGAGUAAGAUGUUUGCAACUCUUGAUUACUCUGAAAUCUGGUUCCUUACACAUUGUUGUUGAACAAACUGCCAGCCAGGAAAAAAUUAGGACACGAGCUAUCACUUCCACUCAAUAAAAACCAGGCGUCAGAGGACGGAGACACCACACAAGUUCGCACAAUAACCAUUCCGUCAUAAUGUUGCUGACUGUUCGUCCCAUGUUGUUGCGAUCGCCUGCCAUUUCCAUGCAUUCUAUUUGGGUUAGGAUGCUUUUCUUCUGUCUGGCACGAUUCACAUUCGAUUUCAACGGCAAAAGAGCGAAACAGAAGACGGAUAAAGAACUAAAAAAGGAAAUGCAUGGAAUACAUAUCGUCCAUAAUACCAAAAGUUUAACGUACCAAAUCUGGAAAGGAAUAUAGUGGCGAAUUUUGUCUUUCCGGCCGAUGGAAUUGGCGUUUGCAACUCACCUUUUGCGAAGUCUUGGACAAGCGGAUCAAGAGCUGGAUCCUGGCGAAUCUUCGUUCAGACUUUAGAGAAAGAAGAAGAAGCGGAAAGUAGAAUGCUGCGUUCAUCAUAACUGCGUGAAAAUUGGAUUUACUCUAACAAAUCGACACAAGAACCUCUAUCGUCUCGAACGCACAGUAUUAACGUGUAGUUAUCCCUCUUGAUGUACCCAAAACGGUCAGGAAAGUCACACAUUUCGUACGAUUACGCAAGAUAGUGAAAACGCCCUGAUUGUCAAAUAGAAAUGGGUGCCACCAGAGACUUUGUGAUCGGGAGGGAAACCGAAACUCGAAGUUUUACGCCCAACGUACUACCCAUCAGCUGAAAAACACCACUUAUACACCUUUCUUUGGCAUAUGAAAUGGAAUCGUGGAUGCUGAUGAUAAACUAUCAUGAACUCUUGGUGAAAGUUGGUUUUAACUAACUGGAAAGAGACUCGACACUUCGCCAGUGUAGAAAUAGCUGGAUGUCUCAAGUAUAGCACCAACUCCACAAUUUGGAAUGAUCGUCAUCUCCCUUAUAAUUUUACUUUUACGAACAGUAGUGUUCGUGACAAAAUGCCACUCCGCAGCACCACCGUGGAAGAUUGUCCGACCAAGGCAGCUCUACAGGGCAAACCAGUGCCGAAAAUGGAAACAAUUCGUCGGUUGACGAAAUGUUGGCCCUAGUUUUGCAACGGAUUCAUCAUGGAAUGAAUGAUUCGAAGAACUUCUGCGUUUACCAGGACCUGGUCUGAAAGGCAUAUAAUUUCUAAGUGUUAACCUUAUUUUUCAUCUCUAUUCUAUAAAUUAACCGUAGAUUGAAAGUAAUCGGUUUCGAAUUGACCUGCGACGAACUCGCCCUAAAAAAUUUGCGCAAAGUAAACCCUCUUAUACAGAAACAAGUUAAGAUUUUGUUAAGGUGAAAAUCCUGAUUGAAAUUCAUUAGCACAUUUAGGGAGGUGAAGUAGUUUCCCGCGACAGGUUCCGUGAAUUUCCCCCUUUUAUCAUUUAUUGGCAUCUUCCAGUUGGGAAGUUAAGUGUCGAAGUGACUCACAAUAAUAGGCCCGUUUCAUUUAAUCCUAUCGAAGGGAAGGGAACUCUAACUCAAACACAGAUAACCUGCACAGUCACAGGCGGGAAAUAAUUCUUUUCUUCAGAAAAUUGUAAGUUCUUUUUUUGUCUGGACCUUCCAUACCCCCAAUCUCAUCAGAUUUAUUUGUAUGUGAUGUGUAUCUGAUUAUUCAUUUCUCGUGAGUCGUGAACUCGUGAUGUUAAGCUUCGGAAACAGAGUUCGGAUUCGGUUCGGAAAGCAAUCCAUCCGUUCCGUACAGUCAAAUGUGGUAAUCGUGAGGGAAUCUUUUGGCUGUCGGUAGGUGGCUAAAAUGGAUUGUCCCCCAUCCGCCAGGUGACGCAA
rnacentral:lncRNA from 1 species